AUUUUAUGAUAUAUGAAUUGUAUCUCAAAAGAGCUGUUAAAAAAGACCAUUACAUUAAAAAUUUUUUUAAUUAACUAAAUUAAUAGACAUAGACAUUUAAAAAUUAGUAGCUACAAUAGUAACUCAUUAUGUGACCACCAGGAUUAUUUUCAUAUAUUUAGAUUUUUUUUUUUUUUUUUUUACUUUUUUUUGUGUAGAGAUGGCACCUCACUAUCUUGUCCAGGCUGGUCUCAAACUCCUGGCCUCAAGCAGUCCUCCUGCCUUCGCCUCCCAAAGUGCUGGGAUUACAAGCAUGAGCCACCAUGCCCAAUCAGUAUAUUUUUAAAAACAUAAUUAAUACUGCUGCCAGGAAUCAUCCAGAAUGCAUAAGUAAAUGAGGCAUUAACUGACCCAGGCUGAGCUCAGAAGCUCAAGCUCAAAUCGAGAAGACUGCCAAGAAAAAAAAAGUGUGGAUUUUCUGGGGCUUUUAUUGUCCCCACUUCUUUCAGUUUCCAUUAGUCUAGAGAAGUGAGAAUCAGCAGAUUGGAUGAAAGUUCCUGAACCUGGAGCUGUUGAGAAAAGUCUUCCUAAGUCUCCUCGAGUGCUGGCUGGCAUGGUUUCUAUUGGUUCUCCAGAGACAGAGCCUAAAUCAGGCCCUUGGAAGCAGAGACGAGGUCUCACCAUGUUGCCCAGUCUGAUCUCAAACUCCCGGGCUCAAGCAAUCCUCCUGCCUUGGCCUCCCAAAUGCUGGCAUUACAGGUGUGAGCCACUGCACCUCACUGGAAGUGUCCUUCUGAAGGAUCUGGACAGGCAUUUAUCCCUCUGCAAGGGCAUUAACUUCCCCCCAGCUCUGGGCAACACCUACAGGUGGGUUGAGUGGGUUCCCUCGAUUUCAGAGAAAGCUCUGAGGUCGAAUCUGGCACUUGAGAUGGGAUACUGGCAGUGGGCAAAGACGUGUCCACCACUGCUGACCUGCAGGUAGGCGGGGGCCAAGAGAUUGUGAUGUGGGGCAAAAAAAAGUCUGCUUCAUGGGGUGUGGGAUCCUGGGUGCUUGCUGCCUAGAAAAGAGACACAUGUCAGGAAGGUGGGUGGGAGUAAGGCUGACCUAACCAGAGAAGUAUCCCAUGAACAUGACCAAACCACUGGGGAAGGAAGACAGCAUGUUUCAGAAAUUGCCUGUGCAUGGCCUCCUUCUCUGCUUGCAAUCAGUCCUAAAAACAUAAGACAGAUACUCUUCUGUUUUAACAGAGGAGAAAGCUUGGAGAAAUUAUACAAGCUGCCCGAAGUUGCUCUGGAAGAAUAU
rnacentral:lncRNA from 13 species